GUAGAACCACCACUUUGAUCUUUUAAACCACCUCCAUCAAGAGCACCACCACCUCCUUGGCUCUAUCUAGUUUUGGUUGAGUUGAGGGGAGGAACUCAAGAAGGAGUCUGAAAGCUAUUAUCAUUCAGUUUGAGUUAAGGGAAGGAAGGAGUCUGAUUACAGGGUAAUGAUUGGAUCAAGUUCAGUUUCAUUAUCAAGCUGCAAGAUGGCAAGUGCAUCUCCCUCUCCAUCCCCUGCAGCUGGGUCUACUGAUGUGACACUGUCAAUAACACCUCAAGUUGAUGCUACAA